rnacentral:rRNA from 1 species
CUUGCCAGGGUACUACGAGCCCCAGCUUAAAACCCAAAGGACUUGGCGGUGCUUUAGACCCCCCUAGAGGAGCCUGUUCUAGAACCGAUAACCCCCGUUAAACCUCACCCUCUCUUGUUAAUCCCGCCUAUAUACCGCCGUCGUCAGCUUACCCUGUGAAGGAACUACAGUGAGCUUAACUGGUACAACCUAAAACGUCAGGUCGAGGUGUAGCGUACGAGAGGGGAAGAAAUGGGCUACAUUCACUGAUACAGUGCACACGAACAAUGCCUUGAAAUAGACAUUAAAAGGAGGAUUUAGCAGUAAGGAGAGAACAGAGUGCUCCCCUGAAACUGGCCCUGAAGCGCGCACACACCGCCCGUCACUCUCCCCAAAAAAUAAACUUAAACAUAAAUAAAUACAUCUUUAAAUAAAGGGGAGGCAAGUCGUAACAUGGUAAGUGUACCGGAAGGUGCACUUGGAAAAAU